GAAAGUGAGAAUGGAAGGAAAGAGGUUGCACUCCCUUCUCCAAAUCCACCCAGUUACUUGAACAAUGAGAUGGAAUCAAUUAUGAGAAAUGAGCUUCCCACGCCAGUUGGAUAAAUCAUUGGUAAGUAUGUCUUCCUCUAUGUUAAACCUUGUAUCAUUUUAAGCAUCUCAAAUCAUCUGACUGGCCUUUGAUAAGGAGAUCCAUCAGAAACUUAAUUAGCCUGAACGGAUCAAUCGGAGACUGAAAAUAUUGGAUACUUGGACACUACCAAAGAAGGAUUAUCAUGCAGCACCUUGUUUGAACCAUUCUACCAGAUCCAAACCAAGAGAAUCAACGGGAAAUUCCUCUCAGUGUGAUUUCAAUGAGGCUGUAAUUGAAGUUCCUUUGGAUGAAGACAGCUCUACUAUUCAUCAAGAGCCUAUGACUAACUGGUUAGCUUUGAAGCAAACCUCUGUUGACAAAAAUGGGCUUCAUGGAAGUUCUUGGCCAAUAAUUCAGCUGGCAAGGGGCAUACGCUGCCAUUUGAGAAGAACGCAGCCAUGUGGAACCCAUUUGAAUCUCUGGAAAUCUUCCAUAUGAUGCCCCAAGAGCCACAUUUCCGGGCUUUAGAGCAGUACUGUGAGGAGUUCCGCGAAGGAAUGGCAAUUGGUUUUAUGGUGACUUUUGCCAACUUGAUCAAUGACCUUGGCUAUAAAAUGUCUGGAUGCCCGUCUUGAAACCAGACAGAAAUACUGUUACACUCACCUUAUCUCCACAGAAGCCAGGUUCUUAUGUAUUGGGAGUUCUUACAGGACAGAUUGGACACUUGACUUUCUGAUCUCAUGGAUUUUGAAAAGGUGACCCCCCCUGAUAGCGAUUUCACGAGUUUUGAAAAACCAAAAAAACCUGUUCUAAUUAAAGGUAAGUUUCUCCACUGCAUUACAUAGUAUUAGUUUUUUCAGUCUUCCAGGUUCUUAUGUAUUGGGAGUUCUUAUGUAUUCUCAAGCACUUGUAAGCCAGGUACUAAGCCAAUUGUCUCACCUUCUGUAAUGUUCUGUUUUUUAAACUUCACCAGCUAAUUUUCUCCA